rnacentral:lncRNA from 1 species
ACAUAUGACAUCAAUCUCUAACCAUCAUAUCAAACUAACCAAAUAAAAUAAAUAGAUAGAUAAUCAAUAUAUAUCAAUAGUGUAAAUUAUAUCCUACACUAUAUGUACCAUAUCAGUAGUGCGCCACGAACAAUUCAAAACGAGUUAAUAGCGGUGGGAAUCAGAGAUGAGCAUAUGAUGAAUAAGAUUGAUAGAAAUAUGG